CUAUGAUCUACAGUGCCCAUUCCAACUCAGAGAAUCUUUACAUCUGGAGAUCUAUAGCAGGGCUAUCCCUAGUGACAUGCGUGAAGAAGCUUGGAAAUGGUGCUGGGUAGGAGCUGAGUGUGCAGAAUGUGGAAAGGCAUUCUAAACCAAAGGAAGAACACGAGUAAAGAUGAUGAAGCAGGGAUAAGGCUAAAAUGAAAUUUGUGAUCUGAUCCACAUACAAGCACAGUGUAGUACAGCUGGAAUAUAGAGAAGAGCUUGAAGACUUAUGAGCAACUAUCCCGGUACUCUUGGAGGCUCUGCAACCACAGUUUGAGAAACUCCGCGUUCAAAGUUAAAAACUGUCACCUGAAUAGUUAAUAACAUCAAAGAUUGUGAAAGCAAGUAUAAAUAACACAGAGAUUAAAAUAAUGAGGCAGGAUCAGAAAGCCCUUGGAACAGGAGAAAGGGUUGGAAAACAAAGAUCACUUUUCUCUGGCCAAAUGGAAUCACCCAACAAAGUACCUUCCUGAUAGGCCAGCUAUUUCAGAUGAUGAAGGUUUAAGAAGCGGCAUCAUCAGAGAACUGUGUUUUGAAGAUUUGAGGGAAGGGCUGACCUCAGGAUUUUAUACUAGUUGCUGACCUCCAUAACAGCAGACAAAAUUGGAAGCAAGAGUGAUUUUGGAGGAGUCACACUUAGAUGUUUCCCUUACCUAUUUCUGUUCUGGAAAUUUAAAAAUCUUACUUCUCAUGACAGUCCUACAUGAAAAAUUAAAAAUCACAAGGAUUCACGGAUGGAAAACUGAGACUCAGAGAAUGAUCACAUUCACAUCGUAAUAAAUCAGCAAUAGAGU
rnacentral:lncRNA from 1 species